UACGAAGGGGGCUAGCGUUGCUCGGAAUCACUGGGCGUAAAGCGCACGUAGGCGGAUUGCUAAGUCAGGGGUGAAAUCCUGGAGCUCAACUCCAGAACUGCCUUUGAUACUGGCGAUCUCGAGUCCGGGAGAGGUGAGUGGAACUCCUGGUGUAGCGGUGGAAUGCGCAGAUAUCAGGAAGAACACCUAUGGCGAAGGCAGCUCUCUGGGACGGUACUGACGCUGAGACGCGAAAGCGUGGGGAGCGAACAGG
rnacentral:rRNA from 1 species